CACGCAGGUGGCGACGUAAGUCGGGUGUGAAAGCCCCGGGCUCAACCUGGGAAUUGCAUUCGAGACUGCAUUGCUGGAGUACGGAAGAGGAGGGCGGAAUUCCCGGUGUAGCGGUGAAAUGCGUAGAUAUCGGGAGGAACAUCAGUGGCGAAGGCGGCCCUCUGGUCCAGUACUGACACUCAAGUGCGAAAGCGUGGGGAGCAAACA
rnacentral:rRNA from 1 species